GACGAACGCUGGCGGCGCGCUUAACACAUGCAAGUCGAACGGAAAGGCCUGCUUUCCCUUGUGGAUUGCGGGUACUCGAGUGGCGAACGGGUGAGUAACACGUGAGUGAUCUGCCCCCAACUUGGGUAUAAGCCUGGGAAACUGGGUCUAAUUCCCGAUAGGACUGCAGGGUGGUGCCUGUGGUGGAAAACGAUUUUCUAGUGGUUGGGGAUGAGCUCGCGGCCUAUCAGCUUGUUGGUGGGGUAAUGGCCUACCUAGGCGGCGACGGGUAGCCGGCCUGAGAGGGUGGACGGCCACAUUGGGACUGAGAUACGGCCCAGACUCCUACGGGAGGCAGCAGUGGGGAAUAUUGCACAAUGGGCGGAAGCCUGAUGCAGCGACGCCGCGUGGGGGAUGACGGCCUUCGGGUUGUAAACUCCUUUCGACCGCGAGGAAGCCACCUGGUUGGAAGGGUGGUGACGGUAGUGGUAGAAGAAGCACCGGCUAACUACGUG
rnacentral:rRNA from 1 species